AGGGCUAAAAGGAGUUCCUGGAGCUACCUGAAGGGGAGUCUCCAAACAAACUCCAUCCAGCAGCUUUCAGGAAGGCCAAGAGGCCACUCUACCAGGUCACCGAAACAAGCUUAUUUCUAGAACGAAGACUGCGAGGAGGGCAGUGAAGAUGCCCCUGCUCUGAGGAGUCGGAGAAAUUCUGCGACAGACCAGAAUGUGCUUUUCCAGUGGCUGAGUAAAUCUUGCUCAGCUCUUCACAGAACUCAUGGCUUCGGUGACAGGUGGCCCCUCCCAUUGCUGUGCUACAGGCCUCCUGGGUUAACCCUGGGGCUGAUUUCAGCUUCAAUUGAACUGGAUCAGGAAGCGGACGUGAUCCAACCACUGAGAUCCUCCACUUGCCUUUGUGUGUUGCUGAAAACCUCAUUUGCAAGUUCAAAUGAGGGCAUGGAACAUAUUUUCUUUUUCCUCUGUUGAUACUAACUGGACACUACUAUGGAUCAAAGCCAUGGUCAUGACUUCAUCGUUGCUUCUGGGUAACAACUAAACAAACUGGAAUGCGAAUUUAAAGCAACGCAUUUCUAGAUAUCCAAUGUCAGAAGCCUUGAAUUUGAACCACUCCCAUGAGUGGGCAUCAAGUGUCUGGCUUAUGGUGACGUUUGUCACUCUUCUGUUCCUAUCUGAUGGCUUACUGGAAACCUCUCCAUUGUUUGUGGGAGAAGAAAGACGAAGUGAUACCUUGGCUAGGGAUUUCCCCUGUAAGAAUGCAUAUUUAAGCGUCAUUUCAGAGAGUCUCUUUUAGCACAAGGUAGUCACAGGGAGGCCAUGUGAUAUAGGAAAGUUAUGAGGCUUCUAACCCCAGUGCACCUUCCAAAUGGCUGUGGAAUCUUAAAAAAAAAAAAAUCACUUACCU